rnacentral:tRNA from 1 species
GGGAAUGUAGCUCAGUGGUAGAGCACUUGCCUAAUGUAUGCAAAGCCCUGGGUUCAAUCCCCAGCAUUGUGA